GAUCCUGGCUCAGAUUGAACGCUGGCGGUAUGCCUAACACAUGCAAGUCGAACGAGGUAGCAAUACCUAGUGGCGGACGGGUGAGGAAUACGUAGGGAUCUGCCUUUAAGUGGGGGAUAACCCGGGGAAACCCGGAUUAAUACCGCAUGAUCUCGCAAGAGCAAAGUGGGGGACCGCAAGGCCUCACGCUUUUAGAGGAACCUACGUCGGAUUAGCUUGUUGGUGAGGUAACGGCUCACCAAGGCGACGAUCCGUAACUGGUCUGAGAGGAUGAUCAGUCACACCGGAACUGAGACACGGUCCGGACUCCUACGGGAGGCAGCAGUGGGGAAUAUUGGACAAUGGGCGAAAGCCUGAUCCAGCAAUACCGCGUGUGUGAAGAAGGCCUUCGGGUUGUAAAGCACUUUAAGUUGGGAAGAAAAAACUUCAAUUAAUACUUGAAGUCUUGACGGUACCGACAGAAUAAGCACCGGCUAACUCUGUGCCAGCAGCCGCGGUAAUACAGAGGGUGCUAGCGUUAAUCGGAUUUACUGGGCGUAAAGCGUGCGUAGGCGGUUUGAUAAGUCGAUUGUGAAAGCCCUGGGCUCAACCUAGGAAUUGCGGUCGAUACUGUCAGACUAGAAAACGGUAGAGGGAGGUGGAACUCCAGGUGUAGCGGUGAAAUGCGUAGAUAUCUGGAAGAACACCGAUGGCGAAGGCAGCCUCCUGGGCCUGUUUUGACGCUGAGGCACGAAAGCGUGGGUAGCAAACAGGAUUAGAUACCCUGGUAGUCCACGCCGUGAACGAUGAGAACUUGACGUUGGUUUGCUUAGCAAAUCGGUGUCGUAGCUAACGCGAUAAGUUCUCCGCCUGGGGAGUACGGCCGCAAGGUUGAAACUCAAA
rnacentral:rRNA from 1 species